UACGAAGGGGGCUAGCGUUGCUCGGCAUUACUGGGCGUAAAGGGCGCGUAGGCGGAUAGUUUAGUCAGAGGUGAAAGCCCGGAGCUCAACUCCGGAACUGCCUUUAAGACUGCAUCGCUUGAAUCCAGGAGAGGUGAGUGGAAUUCCGAGUGUAGAGGUGAAAUUCGUAGAUAUUCGGAAGAACACCAGUGGCGAAGGCGGCUCACUGGACUGGUAUUGACGCUGAGGUGCGAAAGCGUGGGGAGCAAACAGG
rnacentral:rRNA from 1 species